rnacentral:rRNA from 1 species
GACGAACGCUGGCGGCGUGCUUAACACAUGCAAGUCGAACGAUGAAGCUGGAGCUUGCUCUGGUGGAUUAGUGGCGAACGGGUGAGUAACACGUGAGUAACCUGCCCUGGACUCUGGGAUAAGCGUUGGAAACGACGUCUAAUACCGGAUAGGACCUCGGAUCGCAUGAUCUGGGGUGGAAAGUUUUUCGGUCUGGGAUGGACUCGCGGCCUAUCAGCUUGUUGGUGAGGUAAUGGCUCACCAAGGCGUCGACGGGUAGCCGGCCUGAGAGGGUGACCGGCCACAAUGGGACUGAGACACGGCCCAGACUCCUACGGGAGGCAGCAGUGGGGAAUAUUGCACAAUGGGCGCAAGCCUGAUGCAGCAACGCCGCGUGCGGGAUGACGGCCUUCGGGUUGUAAACCGCUUUUAGUAAGGAAGAAGGGGCUUCGGCCUUGACGGUACUUGCAGAAAAAGGACCGGCUAACUACGUGCCAGCCGCCGCAGUAAUAC